GGCGUAACGACUUCCCCGCUGUCUCCAACAUCGACUCAGCGAAAUUGAAUUGCCUGUCAAGAUGCAGGCUUCCCGCGGUCAGACGGAAAGACCCCGUGCACCUUUACUACAGCUUCGCACUGGCAUCAGGAUUGUGAUGUGCAGGAUAGGUGGUAGGCUUUGAACCCGUGACGCCAGUCGCGGUGGAGCCUCCCUUGAGAUACCACCCUUCGCACUCUUGAUGUCUAACCGCGGCCCCUCA
rnacentral:rRNA from 1 species